rnacentral:rRNA from 1 species
AGUUUGAUCAUGGCUCAGAUUGAACGCUGGCGGCAUGCCUUACACAUGCAAGUCGAACGGCAGCACGGGAGCUUGCUCCUGGUGGCGAGUGGCGAACGGGUGAGUAAUGCAUCGGAACGUAUCCUGGAGUGGGGGAUAACGUAGCGAAAGUUACGCUAAUACCGCAUAUUCUGUGAGCAGGAAAGCGGGGGACCUUCGGGCCUCGCGCUCUUGGAGCGGCCGAUGUCGGAUUAGCUAGUUGGUGAGGUAAAGGCUCACCAAGGCGACGAUCCGUAGCAGGUCUGAGAGGAUGAUCUGCCACACUGGAACUGAGACACGGUCCAGACUCCUACGGGAGGCAGCAGUGGGGAAUUUUGGACAAUGGGGGCAACCCUGAUCCAGCCAUGCCGCGUGAGUGAAGAAGGCCUCGGUGUAAGACGUCUUCGUCG